AUGGCCACUUCCUGGAAACUCCCCUCGGCGGCGGCGGCGGCGGCGGCGGCGGCGGCGGCGGCGGCGGGAGAAGUCGCGGAGCCGCCCCCGCCCCCGCCCGCGGGACCGGCCUCCCCGCCCGGCCCCGCCACGAGCGCAGCCCGAGCCGCGCUGGGACGGCCGGGGGUCUCCGCGGCGAGGCGGGAGGUGCGGGCUGCGGGGGCUGCUGGGACUUGUAGUCCGCGCGCGGGGUCGGGGGGGCAGUGGCUGGGCGCCACCGGCCGGUGCGGGGUCUCUGCGAGGCUGCAGCCGGCGCGGGGGGCCGGGGCUGGGGCUGGGGCUGGGGCUGGGCCCCGCGAGCUAGGAAGCCAGGUUCGCGGCGAGGACAGUGGGGUGCUGCGGGCGCCCAGGGGUGUCCCCGCCACCGAGCUGCCUGCACCCCGUCGGGGCCGGCCAAUGCCCUGGGACCACCGGCCCACUCGCUGCCGCGCGGGGCCGGGAGAGGCCGCCGGAGCCCGUCUGCCGGGGCCGGGGGCCGGGGGCCGGGGGCCCCACCUGGUGCUCCGAUCCGAGCCUGGGCGGGACCCCGGGCGGGACCUGCGAGUCCGGCCGGGCGGCCUUCCCGGGAAGAGACCAGCCUUCCAUUCCUGCGGGUUGAGUCCUUGCGCAACGAAUGCGCAGGAUGCUCAUUUCACCUCGACCGUCGAGGCGCAGGAUUGCAAGUUUCAUCACCCUGCUUGCCCCAGGGACUGGAGGCGACGUCGCAGUGGAAUCUGGGCCCCGUGCAAAGAGAACCACACGUCUCAGGGCACGCACAUUCUCUCUGCUAACCUUGCUACUCAAAAUGUUCAUAAAUCUCAGAGAAACAACACUUCAAAGCAAGCCGAUGGCUUCAGUGAGCUCUGGUCCUUUUCACUGACCAGCCUUACAAAAUCUAGCUCCAAAUCCUCCAAAACUCUUUUUUUUCUUUCCCUUCUUUCUGCCUUUCUGCUCUCUCUUUGGGAAUAUGGCAAGAUUUGCCUCCUGCUCCUCCAUUGGCCUCCUCUCCGGUCAUUCCGCCUUCCAUACUUCCCCCACAUCACCCCCAAUAUCUUCUGA
rnacentral:lncRNA from 1 species